GACGAACGCUGGCGGCGUGCUUAACACAUGCAAGUCGAACGAAAAGAGGGAAAGAGCUUGCUCUUUCCGGAAUUGAGUGGCAAACGGGUGAGUAACACGUAAACAACCUGCCUUCAGGAUGGGGACAACAGACGGAAACGACUGCUAAUACCGAAUAAGUUCCAAGGGCCGCAUGGCCCAUGGAAGAAAAGGUGGCCUCUACCUGUAAGCUAUCGCCUGAAGAGGGGCUUGCGUCUGAUUAGCUGGUUGGAGGGGUAACGGCCCACCAAGGCGACGAUCAGUAGCCGGUCUGAGAGGAUGAACGGCCACACUGGAAUUGAGACACGGUCCAGACUCCUACGGGAGGCAGCAGUGGGGAAUCUUCCGCAAUGGGCGAAAGCCUGACGGAGCAACGCCGCGUGAGUGAUGACGGCCUUCGGGUUGUAAAACUCUGUGAUCCGGGACGAAAAGGCAGAGUGCGAAGAACAAACUGCAUUGACGGUACCGGAAAAGCAAGCCACGGCUAACUACGUG
rnacentral:rRNA from 1 species